UCUAGUAUUUAAGGACAUGCUAACCUUUGAAUGAUACAGAGAAGAUUAGCCUGGACCCUGCACAAGAAUGAUACACAAAUUCAUGAAGCAUUCCAUAUUUUA
rnacentral:snRNA from 1 species